UCAGACGAUGCGUCAUGCAUAUCAAUAAGCGGAGGAAAAGAAACUAACAAGGAUUCCCUCAGUAACGGCGAGUGAAGCGGGAAGAGCUCAAAUUUGAAAUCUUGAAAGGUCACCUUUCACGAAUUGUAGUUUAAAGAAGUGUUUUCUGUUACGAUCGUAAUAUAAGUUCUUUGGAAUAGGACAUCACAGAGGGUGAGAAUCCCGUCUAUGAUUGCGAUUUGUAGCUUUGUGAUACACUUUCAAAGAGUCGGGUUGUUUGGGAAUGCAGCCCAAAACGGGAGGUAAAUUUCUUCUAAGGCUAAAUAUUGGCGAGAGACCGAUAGCGAACAAGUACCGUGAGGGAAAGAUGAAAAGAACUUUGAAAAGAGAGUUAAAUAGUACGUGAAAUUGUCAAAAGGGAAGCGUUUAACACCAGUGUUGUUUUCUGAAAAUCAACCUCUGUUAGCUUUAUGCAUGUUUGUUUAGACCUAAUCAGCUAUCUUGCAUGUUCUAUUGUUUGCAGUGGUGCACUUUUCAGUUUACAGGUCAACAUCAGUUUUUUUUACCGUAAAAAAGUUAAAGAAAGGUAGCUCAUGGCUCCGGUUGUGAGUGUUAUAGUCUUUUUCCUAUGCGGUAGGAGAGACUGAGGUCUGCAGUGUAGGCUAUUUGGCUAGAUACUCAGGUGCUAUGUGAUACCAUUUCAUAAACAACUUGUUGAUUAUGUUUUGUCUAUUGCAUACUCGCUUGUACUAUCAUACCUACGCUUAGGAUGUUGAAGACUCUACAGAGAU
rnacentral:rRNA from 1 species